rnacentral:lncRNA from 1 species
GUGCACACACAGCUUCUCUCAGGAACCAAGAGUCACUGCCUCCCCUCCUCUCCUUCCCAUCUCAAGGGUGCUGGAAAUAAAUUUGAUGCGUAUCCAGUUCGGUAUAUGGAACUGGUGAGGCCAUUCUUCCUCAAAGAACGUGAAAAAGCAAGCAUAAUCUUGUGAUUACUCUUGGAGAGAGAGGUAGCACUGGGAAAAAAGAUGAUGCAGCAAGAAGCCUCUCACCAGAUGCCAGCACCUUGAUAUUGGACUUCCCAGGCUCCAGAACCACAAAGUAAAUACAGCUCUUCAAGGAACAACCUGCAGUCAUCAGGGACAGGAGCGUCUCCAUGAAGGAAACCUCACAGGCCUUUCUGCUGAAAACCUUGCAACUCCUUGGAGAGGGCAGCCCUGGCAGAAACUCAGACAAAGCAAACCCUACAGGGGAGUGAAUUGAUUAUAAUUUUAGCACAGAUUUCACAGCCCAGGAUCCCCCACUGUUUGUUGCAGGAUAGGAAGUCCAGACUGUUUUUUAUCUGCCUAUUCCCAGGUUAUCAAAAUGAUUCAUUAUGGCCAAUUCCUGAGAGAUUGAUCUAGAAACCAGAAUGCCAAUAUGUGAGUGGAUAAUGUGACCUAGAGCUGAAGAAAUACUGGUAUCUGUUGUACAAUCAAUACUACACUUUCCUAGAAGUCAGGCCUUUUGAAAAAUUUAUUUUUUGGACAACAUUCUUAAUUUUUCUAAAUUCAUCUAUUAUAAUAUGUUCUUAGGUCAUUUCUCCAGGAAUUAAAGGCCCUGAAAUUAUUUGGCAUGUUUCUGUGAUAUAAAGUUACUAUUGGCAAGAUCAAAGACAGUGUUAAUUAAGCACAGGGUUUACUAGUCUCUAUAAAGUUAGUAGACCAUUAGUUGAAAUUGCAGGCUAAUCCAGCCAGUAGAGUAAAAACAAAUAAAAAUUAGUUUAUUGUUGAUGUAAAUUAAAAAAUGUUCUAGUCAAUAUAAAUGUUUAUUCUUUCCCACAAAAAAACCUUUUUUUUCUGAUUCAUGAAAAUGUUUUGAUAGUAAUGAUUUCUUUUUAAAUAAAUCACGUGCACAUAAUCCCAUUGUCUUUCAAAUCAAAUGCAUGGAAUUUUGCUAGCCAUUUACUGUGCAUCAAGAAAUUACUCAGAAAAAAAGGCAGCGGUUUGUUUGAAAAGCUGAGAAUCAUUAACUUUAGUUGCCAUUAUCAAUUAAAAGGGCAACAGUGAUUAGCAGAGAUCUCUUGGUCUUAGCACUAAAUUGAUGGGCCUGGUAAUAUGAAACCUGGUUUUGCUUAACUCUGAGCGUGUAAAUAUCAAUUUCUCUCCAUGAGUUACAUUUCCACUGUGAAAUCUAAAGUUGGAUUUUCAAUGCAGAACUAAUUAAGAUGUUACAGACACCAAGUUAAUUUGAUAUGUCUGAAAGCAUAAAAAGGGAUUAUUUUAAAGGUGGUUCAGUGAACACCCCAAGAUGAUGUAUGUGAGUAUUUCUCCUUGCACAUGUCACAGAGGUGCUACUUUAAGGUACUGGGAAGUUUUUCAAAAGACAC